rnacentral:rRNA from 1 species
UACGGAGGAUCCAAGCGUUAUCCGGAAUCAUUGGGUUUAAAGGGUCCGUAGGCGGUUUUAUAAGUCAGUGGUGAAAUCUGGUCGCUCAACGAUCAAACGGCCAUUGAUACUGUAGAACUUGAAUUACUUGGAAGUAACUAGAAUAUGUAGUGUAGCGGUGAAAUGCUUAGAUAUGGCACAGAACACCAAUAGUGAAGACAGCUUACGAGGGCGAAACUGACGCUGAGGCACGAAAGCGUGGGGAUCGAACAGG